rnacentral:rRNA from 1 species
UACGGGGGGGCAAGCGUUGUUCGGAAUUACUGGGCGUAAAGGGCGCGUAGGCGGUCUGCUAAGUUGGAUGUGAAAACUCUGGGCUUAACCCAGAGCCUGCAUUCAAUACUGACAGGCUAGAGUUCUGGAGGGGAUAGCGGAAUUCCCGGUGUAGCGGUGAAAUGCGCAGAUAUCGGGAAGAACACCCGUGGCGAAGGCGGCUCUCUGGGACGGUACUGGACGCUGAGACGGCGAAAAGCGUGGGGAGCAA